UAAAACGUAAAAAGAAGACGCAGAAGUUCACUAGUGGCAGGUUUACCUGAUGUUUGUUUUGAAAGUGAACAUGCCGUCAUGUUCAGCUUUUAACUGCACUAAUCGCUACUCACGAGGCUUCAGUGUGAAGUUCCAUCGAGGCAUUAACUCAACAGGACCACUGAACGUGUCCUGUGGUAACUGGCACCAAGACAUUAGCAGCAGAUCCUUCAAGUCCUGUAAGUUGCAAGGUGGAGCCGCCGUGGAUUGAACUUGUUGGUCCAGCAUAUCCCACAGAUGCUAAAUCAGAUUGACAUCCGGGGAAUUUGGAGGCCAGGGCAACACCUUUAACUCUUCAUCAUGUUUCUCAAACCAUUCCUGAACAAUGUGUGCAGUGUGGCAUGGCGCAUUAUUCUGCGGAAAGAGGCCACUGCCAUCAGGGAAUAGCAUUGCCAUGAAGGGGUGUACCUGGUCUGCAAUGAUGUUUAGGUAGGUGGCACUUCAGGUUACCCAGGGUUUCCCUGUAGAACACUGCCCAGAUCAUCACACUCCCUCCACCGACUAGCCGUCUUCCCACAGUGCAUCCUGGUGUCAUCACUUCCCCAGGUAAAUGGCGCACAUGUACACAGCCAUCCACGUGAUGUUAAAGAAAACGGGACUCAUCGGACCAGGCAAACUUCUUCCACUGCUCCAAGGUCCAGUUCCGACACUCGCGUGCCCAUUGUAGGUGCUUUCGACGUUUGAGAGGAAUCAUCGGGGGCACUCUGCCCGGUCUGCUGCUACGCAGCCCCAUACGCAGCGGGGUGUGAUGUAUUGUGUUGUGAUGCAUUCCUCCUGUAACCAUCAUUAAAAUUUUCUGUGGCACAGGAGACCUUCUGUCGAUUCGGACCAGACGGAAUAGCCAUCGUUGCCCUCGCGCAUCGAUGAACCUUGGGCACCCAACACCCUGUCGCCGGUUUGUGGUUUUUCCCUCCUCGGACCACUGUCGGUAGGUACUCACCACUGCUGACCAGGAGCACCCCACAAGUCUUGCCGUUUCAGAGAUGCUCUGACCCUGUCAUCUGGCCAUAACAAUUUGGCCCUUGUCAAAGUCGCUCAGGUUUUUACCUGCCCAUUUUUCCUGCAUUCAACAUGUUGACUACGAGAACUGAUUGUUUGCUUACCAUCUAAUCUACCCAGACCUUGACAUAUAGCCUUGUUAGGAGAUGACCAACAUUAUUCACUUCACCUGUGAGUGGUCAUAAUGUUGUGGCUCAUUGUUGUAUAUAUACAUUUUAAAUGUAAUAUAUAAUUCAAUUUGAAUAAAUGUGAAUAUCAUCCAAUUGAUUAUAUAUUUAAAGAAAUAUAUUUUCUUUUAAUUACUUCAGUGUAGUAGCUUGAUUGCAUUUUAACUACUUCAACCCUUAAAUGCAUUGGUGAUUCACCAAACAUUAUUACAUUCCUUGGGUCUUUAGUGAUCAGGCACUUAUAUCUAUCACAAAUUAAUCUGAAAAGUUUACACUAUCUGGGCAUUUUGAAAAGCAUUUUUAAGACAAUUCUGAAAUAAUUGGAUAGAAUAUAUUCUGAUAUAUUUUGAUGUUUUAUUUUUCAUUUAUCAAAGAGAUGAUGCAACCAAAGAUCAAACGGGGUUCAUUAGUUUCACGCUGAAAUUUUAUGUCUCACCUGCCUGUCAAAAACAUAUUGAGCUACACAUAAACUACACAUGCAUUUUCUCAGGCACUUAUUGAGUCUAAAUAAACACAACUUAAUUUCAGUAGCACACUUAAAUGGCAAUAGCCAUAUUAUACUGUUCAUGUGUUGUACUUGCUAUAGUUUAGUGCCAUUUUGCUUUUUUCUUUAAAUAAUGUCAAAUGUAAAUCAAGUCAGUCACUGAAUCAACAGUGCCAGCUUGUGUAACAAGUAGCAUGUAUUAUAUAUGUACAUGUACACGCAUGUGGAAUUCUGAUAAUUCACCACAGUUGUAAAGGCUUUCCUAUAAGCCAGGGCAAGGUGAUAAGAUGUUCUUUACUCAUAGUUUAGAAUAAACAAUUUCCACACAGCCA